rnacentral:rRNA from 1 species
CCUACGGGGGGCAGCAGUGAGGAAUAUUGGUCAAUGGACGCAAGUCUGAACCAGCCAUGUCGCGUGCAGGAAGACGGCCCUAUGAGUUGUAAACUGCUUUUGUACGAGGGUAAACGCAGAUACGUGUAUCUGUCUGAAAGUAUCGUACGAAUAAGGAUCCGCUAACUCCGUGCCCGCAGCCGCGGUAAUUCGGAGGAUUCAAGCGUUAUCCGGAGUUAUUGGGUUUAAAGGGUGCGUUGGCGGGCAGAUAAGGUCGAUGUGAAAUCCCGAGGCGCAACUUCGGAAUUGCCUGUGAUACUGUUCGUCUAGAGAGUAGUUGAGGUAGGCGGAAUGUGUGGUGUAGCGGUGAAAUGCUUAGAGAGCAUACAGAACACCGAUUGCGAAGGCAGCAUACCAAGCUACUUCUGACGUUGAGGCACGAAAGCGUGGGGAGCAAACAGGAUUAGAUACCCCUGUAGUC